UAAUCCUCAGUUUGCUCUCCACGUUUAUGAGUCUCUUCUGUUUUGUCUCCUUCCCUGUUUUUAUAUUAUUUUUGUUUCCCUUAUGUUCAUCUGUUUUAAAACAGUCUUACCCACAAAUGUCCACAGAACAGCUGCAUUCACAUCACUUGGAACUUGUGAGAAAGGCAAAUUCACGGGGCCCUUCUCUCAGACCUGAACUAAUCUCAGGUAGUAAGGUUCAGAAAUCUAUGUCAAUAAACCAUCCAGACCAUUAUGUGUGUGCUAAAGUUCAAGCCCCUUUGUUUUUAGGAAACAAAAUAGAACUAUGCAUAAGAUAAUUUCCCUUUAGUUCACAGAUCAGUUUUCCUUGUGUCUGCCACACUUGUCUUCAGGAGGUGUAGUCUCAGAACUGAGGUGUGAUUAGGAAAUUUAACUUUUGGGGUUUUUUGCAUCCACUUGAAUUCCCAAAACAAUAUUAGACAUGUUUUGCAUGUUGGAAAGAUUGCUUAAAUAUGAUAAUCAGAUCAGUUGAUUGGAUCUAUCACUCAGCUCUUUAAAGAAGUACUUUAGAAGGGAUCAGACACUUGAAUUACGACAGCAGAAGAGCAGAGCUGAUGUGGGGAAAGCCAAGAAGCAAGACUGGAUGGGUUGAAAGUUAUACUAGAGAAACUGGCAUCACGGUGAAAAGACCGGGGCGUGGCAGCGGAGGUACCCAGCAGCGGCAGCUGGUUUUUAUCUCCCUUCUGUCGGUAAUCCUCUGUUCACCCUCCCCCACCCCAACUCAAUUUCCUAAUUUAUGAUGAAAAACUAUGACCAAUUGGGAGAACAGGAGAAUCAGUAAUCUUUCAUGUGUAGCCAUCCUCAAAACCUCUCACUGGUUUCAGAAAUGCGUUUUUUUCUCUGUACUCUCAUCUCUCAAGCCCAGUUCCCAAACAACCUCCUGCUUUUCCUCCGCUUCCCUGGACUUUUUUUCUUUUCAAAGUCACACACCCAGAUUUCUUUUAGAAACAAAAUUCUUUUAUUUGAUCUGUCCCUUCUCAAACUUUUCCUGGAAAAUUAUGCUGCCUUUAAUCUUGUUGCCAAUUUCACUCUUAAUCUUUUAAAAUUUGAUGUCCUAGAAUUAAUGAAUGUCUAGGUUGAAAGGAAUAAUUAUGCAAGGUUAUGCCUCAAAUUCCUCAAAUAAAGACUUUAGAUAGGUAAGUAUCUCAUGAUCAAAAAUUUGUAUUGAUGAGGGGGAGAAACAUUUACCUAUUCAGGCAAUAUGCUUCAUCUCCAGACAGGUCACUUCUUUCCUACAGUGAUUUAAAAAUCUAUUUCCCUAUUGUUUAUAUCUAUUGGUCAUGGUUCCAAACAUUGGGAUAGUAUAUAGAGUACAUCUAUUCCCUUACCCAUAUGGCAACUCUUUAUAUAUUUCCAGGUAACUUCUGUUCCUGAUGGCUUUUUUUUUGUACUUUAAAAUAAUCCCUUUCUUCAAUGGCUAUUUAAGAGGUAUGAUCUGUAUUUCUUUUAACAUAUGGUACCCACAACUGCAUCUGUUACUUCUAAUCCAUUUAGGUCUUACCAGCACAGUUGGGAUAUCUCCUCCCUUGUAAUUAAUAUAUUAAAAGCCCAUUUUUUAACACUCACAUGAUGCUGAGUUGAUAUUUAACUAUGAGCUAAAAAUCCUUUGUCUUUUGUAACUAUGCUGUUUUGCCUUCUUUUCUGUACUCAAAGCUGAGUUGGGUUUGGGGCCCAUAUAUAAGGCUAUGCCUUUAUCCCUCUUCAUUUUUCUAAAUUCAUUCCUAGUUCCACCCACUCAGUAUAGUUUUGAUUCCUAAAUCUGGAAUCUCCCAGCUUGUCAUCCACAAAUUUGACAAAGUUGCUGUUUGUAAUUUCCUCCAAGUUAGUAAUUAAAAUGUUGAAUGGUACUGGGCCAAGGAAGAGUCUGCAGAAUGCCACAGGCUUCCUCCCUUAACUUGACGAAGCUCAACUAAUCAUCACUGUUUAGGUACAACUAUGCACCUACUCACUAAUGAAUAUAAUGGAAAUAUUCUUAAAGUGUUACACAUUAUCAUAAAAGACUAUGUAAUCUACACGUUUCACCAAAAUAGUAUCUAUUUCCAGGUCAGUUUUUAGAGCAUUGGAUUAUUUUUUCAUCCAAAAUGUGUUUCAAGGUAAGCAUACUUUUGUUGGGUGUUUGGGGGAUGAGUACAUUAAAUAUUAAAAAGGAACUUGUCUCCUGUCCUUA